rnacentral:rRNA from 1 species
AUACGGAGGGUGCGAGCGUUAUUCGGAAUUACUGGGUUUAAAGGGUGCGUAGGCGGCUAAGUAAGUUGUCAUUGAAAGGCUACAGCUCAACUGUAGUAGUGGUGGCGAUACUGCUUAGCUAAGAACAUGGGAGGGGUACUUGGAAUGUGUGGUGUAGCGGUGAAAUGCGUAGAUAUCACACAGAACACCAGAGGCGAAGGCGGAGUACUAGACCAUAGUUGACGCUGAGGCACGAAAGCGUGGGGAUCAAACAGGAUUAGAUACCCUGGUAGUCCACGCCCUAAACGAUGAUCACUAGAUAUUGGCGACAAACAGUCAGUGUCCAAGCGAAAGUGAUAAGUGAUCCACCUGGGGACUACGGCCGCAAGGUUAAA